AUUGAACGCUGGCGGCAUGCUUUACACAUGCAAGUCGAACGGUAACAGGUUAAGCUGACGAGUGGCGAACGGGUGAGUAAUGCAUCGGAACGUGCCCGAUCGUGGGGGAUAACACUUCGAAAGAAGUGCUAAUACCGCAUACGUCCUACGGGAGAAAGCAGGGGAUCACUUGUGACCUUGCGCUAAUAGAUGAGCCUAAGUCGGAUUAGCUAGUUGGUGGGGUAAAGGCCUACCAAGGCGACGAUCUGUAGCGGGCCUGAGAGGAUGAUCCGCCACACUGGGACUGAGACACGGCCCAGACUCCUACGGGAGGCAGCAGUGGGGAAUAUUGGACAAUGGGGGGAACCCUGAUCCAGCCAUGCCGCGUGUGUGAAGAAGGCCUUAUGGUUGUAAAGCACUUUAAGCGAGGAGGAGGCUCUUUUGGUUAAUACCCAAGAUGAGUGGACGUUACUCGCAGAAUAAGCACCGGCUAACUCUGUGCCAGCCGCCGCUGUAA
rnacentral:rRNA from 1 species